CUCGGACCGCGGGGACCUUCUUCAGCAUCGCGGGCCGUCGCUACAAGAGGAGGCGCAGGAAACGCUCUGAGAGGAAAGACAGAAACCGUCUCCGCCAGUCAAGAGGCCCUCCCCAGCACUUUGCCAUGGAUGUAGAAGAUGAAGAAAACAUGAUAGGUGUUGGUGCUUGUGUGGACAUCUUCCUUGCAGCCGUCUGUCCGGACCUUCCGCUGCCAUCGUUCUGGGACCGUCACACACCUGCAGGGGGCACACGUGUCUCUAGACGCACGCGCCUCACAGCUGCCGGCUCCGUGCUGCUGGCGGCUGGGUUUUCACCUGUCCAGAUCUAAGAUGCCCUCCAGAUUGAUAUCAAUGCUUGGUCAUUUGGGAUAGCGCCCUAAACUUUUCCCUGCAAAUACAGCAUAUUUUCCCUGUGCUCUGAA